rnacentral:lncRNA from 1 species
CAAUUGAUACGAACAAAUGGAUGGGUAGAUACUGUCAUGCAUAAGAGUGUAACAAGAACAAGAUCAGACAAGAAGCAAAUAAAGACCAGAUGUCAGAGAUACAAAAGAUUGGAUAGGCCGCUGAACUUCAAAAGACUGCUGCAAUCACAUCUUCCAAACCUCUAGCGGAUACAUUACUCCAUUCACAGAUAAUACUCGUACAAAAACCAUCGAAGAACAUAACUACAAAAUGCUUUGCAAAACAAAUAACAAAAACAUAAAACAAAGAGGCAAGGUAGGUGACACUAAGCAAGGAUGAUUGUUUUUACACGACUAUCACGAGCCAUUCUGCAUCAUUGCACGAACCAAAGAUAAAUAUCCACAUCAUUAUACCACUUAAAAAACAAACAACCAAAUUAAAUUUAGAUUUUUCUUUUAACUUCUUUGGGUGAAUAACCAAAUUAAACUGCAAAUUCUAUGGCCUACCAAACCACAAGAAAUAAAUCCCUAUGGCCACAACACAAAUAUCAGAACUUGCAUAACUCCAGAACCAAUGCAAUCAAAAUAGCUAGUUCUUGUACUAGCCAUGUUUAGCACUGAUACAAUAAAAAGGAUAUUACUGAUGAAAUAAUUCAACACAGAACAAAAGAAAUCUAGAAAUUCAGAUAUUCAUCAAAAUCAAACAAGCUAUCAACUUCCCCACCCCAGUGUGUUCACAUAAAAUUAAAACAACUCCCAUCCAAAUGGAUCCUAAGAAAACAAAAUAAGCUCCCACCCCAAGAAGAGCACGCAUCAAGAGGGAGCAACUGAUGCGAACAAAUGGAUGGGCAGAUACGGCAAUGCAUAAGAGUGUAACUAGUGACAAGAUCAGUGAAGAAGUAAAUAAAGACUAGAUGUCAGGGAUUAUUGUUCUUACACUAAGCAUGGAUCAUUGUUCUUACAUGACUAUCACGAGCCAUUAUGCAUCCACAUCAUAAAACCACUUAAAAAACAAACAACUUAAAUUAAAUCUAGUUUUUUUUUAUAUAUACUUCUUUGGGUGAAUAAUUAAAUCGCAAAUUCUACUACCUACCAAAACCACAAGAAAUAAAUCCCUAUAGCCACAGCACAGAUCUCAAAACUGGCAUAACUUCAAAACCAAUCCAAUCAAAAUAGCUAGUUCAUGUACUCGUCAUGCUUAGCAAUGAUACAAUAAAAGGAUAUUACUGAUGAAAUAAUUCAAUACAGAACAAAAGAAAUCAACAAAUUUAGAUAUUCAUCCAAAUAAAGACCAGAUGUCAGGGAUUAUUGUUCUUACACUAAGUAUGGAUUAUUGUUUUUACACGACUAUUACGAGCCAUUAUGCAUCCACAUCAGAAAACCACUUAAAAAACAAACAACU